rnacentral:rRNA from 1 species
UACGGAGGGAGCUAGCGUUAUUCGGAAUUACUGGGCGUAAAGCGCACGUAGGCGGCUUUGUAAAGUUAGAGGUGGAAAGCCUGGAGCUCAACUCCAGAAUUGCCUUUAAGACUGCAUCGCUUGAAUCCAGGAGAGGUGAGUGGAAUUCCGAGUGUAGAGGUGAAAUUCGUAGAUAUUCGGAAGAACACCAGUGGCGAAGGCGGCUCACUGGACUGGUAUUGACGCUGAGGUGGCGAAAGCGUGGGGAGCAAACAGG